rnacentral:rRNA from 1 species
AGAGUUUGAUCCUGGCUCAGAACGAACGUUGGCGGCGUGCUUAACACAUGCAAGUCGUACGAGAAAGUUCCUUCGGGGACGAGUAAAGUGGCGCACGGGUGAGUAACACGUAGAUAAUCUGUCCAGGUGUUUGGGAUAGCCCUUCGAAAGGGGGAUUAAUACCGAAUACGUUAGUCUACCAUAAGGUGGAUUAAGAAAGGUGGCCUCUAUUUAUAAGCUAUCGCAUUUGGAGGAGUCUGCGUACCAUUAGUUUGUUGGUGGGUAAUGGCCUACCAAGACUUCGAUGGUUAGCGGGUCUGAGAGGAUGAUCCGUCACACUGGCACUGAAACACGGGCCAGACUCCUACGGGAGGCAGCAGUGAGGAAUAUUGCGCAAUGGGGGAAACCCUGACGCAGCGACGCCGCGUGGGUGAGGAAGGCUUUCGGGUCGUAAAGCCCUGUCAGGUGGGAAGAAAUGGUUAUAGGCUAAUACCUUAUAGUUUUGACG